UCUCAUAGGGAAGUUCAGAGAUGGAAGGUGGGACAGAGAAGAGCAUGGUCUCCUCGUAAGGGUUGGUUGUGGAACUCCUGUCAGAGGUCCCUGCGAGGGAGGACAAAGUGAGAGCGGACAAGUGCAUUCUUGGCUGCUGCUGUUCUUACUGGUGAGGGGAGCAGUGCUGUGGGCCUUCAGAGAUGGGCCUGUUCCCUGCAUGGGUACUCUCUGGGACCCAAAGAGGUCAUGUAAGUCUCCAUGAAAGGACUUUGAGAAGUCAGAGCUGCCAAACACACUGAGAGAUCACAUUUAAGGGAGCCUGAACCCUGUACCUCCACACCACCCAUCACCCAUUCCAAUCCUGGGACUGCAAAGGCUCCUGCAGCAUCAUCCUCAAGCAUGGAUUUCCACCUGAAAAAAGGAAAGCAUUACCUUGAGAUAAGAUGAGGCAGGGUUUGGUAUGAAGAAGUAAUCUUGAAUUCUAUUGGAAAAAGAACAGAAAGACAAUAUUGGGGAAAAAAAGAAGGUAUCUUUUUUUUCUAUUUAAAAAUGUGUUGUUAAGUACGUGAUGCUGGAGUUGGGGUAGAGAGGCCUCAGUUUAUAGAAUUCCUUUAUU